GAACUGAGAGUGCUGAUGAACUACCUCAUUGUCUGUCUUCAAAGGCUGUGCCCAUAACGGCCUUUGAAGUAUCCCAGGGCUUGGGAAUCUUACCCCCAACCUCCACCCUAGGUCACUGAGAUCCAUGACUAAGCUGCCCCAUGACUGGUUUUGGGGGUGACCUGGAGAAGGCGGCAUCUGCAUCACCGGACUCAGUUUGGACCUGGUUCCUGCAGUCAUCUUAGGCAUUUCGAAUCUCGGGAUCAGGUCUCUAGUGUGCUGGUGUAGAGAGUUAUGUAUGAAUGAAGCCUGGAAAAACUGAGACUCCAUUUGCCA